ensembl:lncRNA
CCCCCACCAGUCUACAGUCUAGACCCCUGACCCCUACCUGACCCCACCAGUCUACAGUCUAGACCCCUGACCCCCACCUGACCCCACCAGUCUAGACGCUGCAGAGAAAGGAGAAUGUUCCCUCAUCUGGCCAGUGGUAUAUAAUUCCUGUGUAUAUACAUGUGUGCUUCAUGUUGUAAAUAGUCUGAGUCUGUAAUGUGUAUUAUUAUUAAUGAUUUAUCUCUCUUCUGGCCUCUUCUCCAAGCUGGCAACUUCUGUUAGAGACUAAAGAGGGGAAAUGUCCUUCAGGAAUCAACGUUGUAUUACCAGAUAGUAGUUCUUACUACAACCCUGUCCCAAAAUGCCUCGCUAUUUCCUUUCUCGUGCUCUACCCAUAGUGCACUACUUCUGACCAGAGCCCAGAGGGGGAUAGGGGGUCAUUUGGGAUGUGCCCUCUGUGUUGCUGUAGUGCACUAUGAAGGGGAAUAGGGGGGUCAUUUGGGAUGGGCCCUCUGUGUUGCUGUAGUGCACUAUGAGGGGAAUAGGGGGGUCAUUUGGGAUGCACUCUCUGUUGUUGCCUUUAGUUUCAUUUAGUCUGCAGAUCUUUUUUUUACUUCCUGUUUUGGUUAACAGGGUAUUAUUUUACUUCCUGUUUUGUUAACAGGGUAUUAUUCAUCAUCUCUGUUGCCCAUCUGGUAUAAAUAUUAAAAUGGCUCACAGGCUCAGAUUAUAGUUGUUGCUCUUUUAAAAUAAAAUCCUACUGUCCUUAAAUAGGAUUUCUUAUUUGAAAUAACCCAAAAUGAUUACUGUCUUUUGUUUGAACAAAUGAAGUGAGUUUCCUCUGAUUGGCUCACAGGCUGAUUAUGCAGUUUGGGGUUUUGAUUGUAUGAACCAAUAGGCUUAAUGGUGCUGAUGAGAUGAAUACAGGUGAAUGAUGGAGAAACCCCAUCUGUUGGAGCGCGAUCACACAGAGAUGAAUACAGGUGAAUGAUGGAGAAACCCCAUCUGUUGGAGCGCGAUCA